rnacentral:rRNA from 1 species
GGUUAAGCGACUAAGCGUACACGGUGGAUGCCCUGGCAGUCAGAGGCGAUGAAGGACGUGCUAAUCUGCGAAAAGCGCCGGCGAGGUGAUAUGAACCCUUGACCCGGCGAUGUCCGAAUGGGGAAACCCAGUGCAAUCCGUUGCACUAUCGUUAACUGAAUACAUAGGUUAACGAGGCGAACCGGGGGAACUGAAACAUCUAAGUACCCCGAGGAAAAGAAAUCAACCGAGAUUCCCCCAGUAGCGGCGAGCGAACGGGGAGCAGCCCGGAGUCUGAAUCAGCUUGUGUGUUAGUGGAACGGUCUGGAAAGUCCGACGGUACAGGGUGAUAGUCCCGUACACGAAAGCACACUUGCUGUGAACUCGAAGAGUAGGGCGGGACACGUGGUAUCCUGUCUGAAUAUGGGGGGACCAUCCUCCAAGGCUAAAUACUCCUGACUGACCGAUAGUGAACCAGUACCGUGAGGGAAAGGCGAAAAGAACCCCGGCGAGGGGAGUGAAAAAGAACCUGAAACCGUGUACGUACAAGCAGUGGGAGCCUCUUUAUGGGGUGACUGCGUACCUUUUGUAUAAUGGGUCAGCGACUUAUAUUCUGUAGCAAGGUUAACCGUAUAGGGGAGCCGAAGGGAAACCGAGUCUUAACUGGGCGUUAAGUUGCAGGGUAUAGACCCGAAACCCGGUGAUCUAGCCAUGGGCAGGUUGAAGGUUGGGUAACACUAACUGGAGGACCGAACCGACUAAUGUUGAAAAAUUAGCGGAUGACCUGUGGCUGGGGGUGAAAGGCCAAUCAAACCGGGAGAUAGCUGGUUCUCCCCGAAAGCUAUUUAGGUAGCGCCUCGUGAACUCAUCUUCGGGGGUAGAGCACUGUUUCGGCUAGGGGGCCAUCCCGGCUUACCAACCCGAUGCAAACUACGAAUACCGAAGAAUGUUAUCACGGGAGACACACGGCGGGUGCUAACGUCCGUCGUGAAGAGGGAAACAACCCAGACCGCCAGCUAAGGUCCCAAAGUCAUGGUUAAGUGGGAAACGAUGUGGGAAGGCACAGACAGCCAGGAUGUUGGCUUAGAAGCAGCCAUCAUUUAAAGAAAGCGUAAUAGCUCACUGGUCGAGUCGGCCUGCGCGGAAGAUGUAACGGGGCUAAACCAUGCACCGAAGCUGCGGCAGCGAC